ACAGGGUGGUAGCUUCACUCAGAGCGAUGAUCUGCUUGGUCCUAAAGCCAACCCCCGACCUCCAAACAGCGGUGGCAUUUUAAUAGAGAUUGAAAUGAAAGUAAAUUAUAACUUUUUUUGUAGCCUACUUUUAAAUUGUUGGUCUUAAUCUGAGAUGGACAUGCCCAUCUGACGCCCCUGCUUGCACUUAACUCUGUGUGCCUGGUUUCUGAUCUCCGCUCAUACCCAGCUAAAUGCCAAGGGGGGUUUAAUUUGCGCAUUGUGACCGUCGCCGGUCCAGCUACACCUGAACGAAUUACAACUGGAUACCGGUACACGCGCAGCUGGGUCAGAGCCAGGCAGCCAAAGCUCUGGAACAGGUCCGGCUGGAGUGCUAACUAAAUACUGGAGUAGCCUACUAAGCGACACCCAACAUGCAGGUGUUUACGAGGAUGAGCCGAGGAUCACUGACGAUGGAGUUACCGUAAAAGUUGCUCUGGAAGAUUCAACCGGAUCUCGUGAAAACGAGAGAGCGAAGCGGCCACGAACCUGACGAGUUUAGCUAGACUGAGGACCGGUGGCCACGAUUUGGAAGCAGUAAACUCGAAUGAGAGGAGUCCUGGUCCGUUACUGGAUGGAAAGAUUGGGCCGAUCCGAAUUCAAGUGGAACACGGACGAGAGGAGUGGGACUUCGAGAGGAGAAGCCUCAGCCAGCAAAGGAGAUGAUCCCAAACUAACCAGUACUACUUUCGCCAUGACAGGGGACACAACCAUACAGUGGUUUUCUGUUUGGGACAAAACAGCAGCAUCAACAGACUAUGGGAUCCAGCUAUGAGAGGAUGAAUGACAAAGUGGGAUCUAAGACUGUGCUGAGUUACCUGUCUGUCCAUCCAACAAGAGAAAGGAGACGCAUUGGUGAACAAUUGCAAAAUGGAUGUGGAGUGAAAAGUGAAAUACCUGGCGAUGCGAUGGUAUAUUUGAUGAUGUGGAAGUUAUUGACGAUGAUGUGAGCUGUUACGUAACCUCCCCUCGUGGAACUUAGUGCCUGUUAAAACUGAUUCAGGAACAGAUAGACAUGCCCAUGUCCAUAUGAUCCACAUAAACAAUCUCAGAAAGGAAAUGAAUUACACCUACUGAGAGAUGGGUUAUGAGAAGGCUUUGUCCAAUACAUGUUAUUACAUUUUGUAAGAGAAAUAAUGUUUGAUUAGGGUUUAAUCUUGAUUAUGUCGCAUGGCAAGUAACAUUUACUGUGCAGGAAAUCCAAUCAGGUUGGUUAAAGAUGAAUCAUCUUUGGCUGUUUAUACCUUUCCAAACUUCUGCAAUUCCUUUCAUUCUCAACAUUUAAAGUGUAUGCCUUCCAUUAAAUGCAGCAGUGAUAUAGGGGAUAUACAGAGUACAGCUAUACACACAGCUAUACAACAAGCCCUCAAUAGAGAUAUGUCUUAAUAUGAAAUGUAUUACAGUAAAUAUAAAGGGAGCCUGGUUGAAAAGGACUCGCCUAAAUUAUUAUUAGAGAGCUGAGAAACAUUCAGUGUCUCCUUGUUCAGUGGUGAAGUGGUGUAGUGGUGAAGUCCUUCAAUGACUUGUAGCAUUUGUACUUAGUGAGACAGAGACAGAAGAAUCAAAAAUGCAAGGUGAAACGCAAUUUCCACUCAUAAUAAAUGCUGUUGUUUAAUACGAUAUUAUUGAAAAUGAUUAGACCUGGCCUUAGGGCCUUGUCCCAUGUAAUUUGUAGUUUAUAAGACACUGGGUGAAAUAGAGGGGGCUCUUCGCAAAAAAAAAAAAAAGGAACAUUUAAAAAAAGAGACACUGGCACAGAAUCCGCUGUCUGUUUAUUGGCUUUAAUGAAAAACAAUUUUUCUAAAUCACCACCAGGGAGGAUUCCUAGUUAAAGCUGGGGAAAGAGGGGUGGGGAUUAUUCCUAGUUAAAGCUGGGGAAAGA